rnacentral:misc_RNA from 1 species
UGAAAAAGGUAAUGCAUGCAUGAACUUUCUGAUACUAGUAGAAAACAUCAUGUGGGAUUUCCUAUUCUGCAUCACAAGAUUUCAACUUGUUUGCAUUAAAAGCAUGACCAAAAUUGUAUUCUUUGAAAACCUAGAAAUUCUUAUUAAUUUUGGGAUAAAUAUUCCCAUGUGGACUAAUAAAUAGGUAAAAAUGUGCUUCAUUUCCAUCAUAUUGAAUCAGAAUUUUAUUUUUCUGGCUCCACAUGUAUUUUAAGAUAUUUUUAGUCAAUCUGGUAAUUUAG